rnacentral:rRNA from 1 species
GCAUAUCACUAAGCGGAGGAAAAGAAACUAACUAGGAUUCCCCCAGUAACUGCGAGUGAAGAGGGAAGAGCUCAUCAUUGGAAUCUGGCAGUGUUUUCACUGUCCGAGUUGUAGAUGAGGAGUAGUCCAUCUGGACUGCAUGGCGUCCAAGUACAAUAGGCCGUCAGUGGGACAUCAUAGAGGGUGACAAUCCCGUCCUUGAUGCCAAUGUGCAAGUCCGUUACGAUGGCUAUCUCAGAGAGUCGAGCAGUUUGGGAUUUGCUGCUUAAACAUGGGAGGUAGAUUCCUUCUAAAGCUAAAUACAGGCGAGAGACCGAUAGAGAACAAGUACCGCAAGGGAAAGAUGAAAUAGCACUCUGUGAAGGGAGUCAAAAGACGUGAAAUUGUUGCGAGAGAAGCGAUUCAAGUCAGCGUAGCUAGGCCCAUCAAGCCUCUUGCUUUGGACUAGCUUUGCCAGCGGUCUUGUCCUAAGAGACUUGACUUAUAUAAUAUGUCCAGCCUGGUAUGCACAGGUAGCCCCAUCGGGGUCAGUGACAUGGCUGGUGGAAUGGCUUGCAAUCGACCCGUCUUGAAACACGGACCAAGGAGUCUAACAUGUAUGCGAGUAUAAGGGUGGCAAACCCGUAUGCGCAAUGAAAGUGAUUUUCGGUGAUUGAGAAUGGCCUGAUGACCAGACAAGCAAUAUUAUGUCCCUCGUACGGCCAUUGCCCAAGUUCCGUGGUAGAUCCCACGAACAUGGAGUUGGAGCAUACAUGCUAGGACCCGAAAGAUGGUGAACUAUGCCUGGACAAAGUGAAGCCAAAGGAAACUCUGGUGGAGGCUUGUAGCGAUUCUGACGUGCAAAUCGAUCG